rnacentral:rRNA from 1 species
CCUACGGGGGGCAGCAGUGAGGAAUAUUGGUCAAUGGACGAGAGUCUGAACCAGCCAAGUAGCGUGAAGGAUGACUGCCCUAUGGGUUGUAAACUUCUUUUAUAUGGGAAUAAAAUGUUCCACGUGUGGGCUUUUGUAUGUACCAUAUGAAUAAGGAUCGGCUAACUCCGUGCCAGCAGCCGCGGUAAUACGGAGGAUCCGAGCGUUAUCCGGAUUUAUUGGGUUUAAAGGGAGCGUAGGUGGAUUGUUAAGUCAGUUGUGAAAGUUUGCGGCUCAACCGUAAAAUUGCAGUUGAAACUGGCAGUCUUGAGUACAGUAGAGGUGGGCGGAAUUCGUGGUGUAGCGGUGAAAUGCUUAGAUAUCACGAAGAACUCCGAUUGUGAAGGCAGCUCACUGGACUGCAACUGACACUGAGGCUCGAAAGUGUGGGUAUCAAACAGGAUUAGAUACCCGAGUAGUC